rnacentral:rRNA from 1 species
AGAGUUUGAUCCUGGCUCAGGAUGAACGCUGGCGGCGUGCCUAAUACAUGCAAGUCGAACGCUGGAGAUCUAGCUUGCUAGAUCGAAGGAGUGGCGAACGGGUGAGUAAUACAUAAGCAACCUACCCACGAAGACUGGGAUAAUCUCUGGAAACGGGGACUAAUACCGGAUAGGUAAUCGGAAGGCAUCUUCUGAUUAUUAAAGGUUAAAAACACUGGUGGAUGGGCUUAUGGCGCAUUAGUUAGUUGGUGAGGUAACGGCCCACCAAGACGAUGAUGCGUAGCCGGCCUGAGAGGGUGAACGGCCACAUUGGGACUGAGACACGGCCCAGACUCCUACGGGAGGCAGCAGUAGGGAAUUUUCGGCAAUGGGGGAAACCCUGACCGAGCAACGCCGCGUGAGUGAUGACGGCCUUCGGGUUGUAAAGCUCUGUUGUAAGGGAAGAACGGUAGAUAGAGAAUAUCUAAGUGACGGUACCUUACCAGAAAGCCACGGCUAACUACGUGCCAGCAGCCGCGGUAAUACGUAGGUGGCGAGCGUUAUCCGGAAUUAUUGGGCGUAAAGGGUGCGUAGGCGGCCUGUUAAGUAAGUGGUUAAAUUGUUGGGCUCAACCCAAUCCAGCCACUUAAACUGGCAGGCUAGAGUAUUGGAGAGGCAAGUGGAAUUCCAUGUGUAGCGGUAAAAUGCGUAGAUAUAUGGAGGAACACCAGUGGCGAAGGCGGCUUGCUAGCCAAAGACUGACGCUCAUGCACGAAAGCGUGGGGAGCAAAUAGGAUUAGAUACCCUAGUAGUCCACGCCGUAAACGAUGAAUACUAAGUAUUGGGGAAACUCAGUGCUGCAGCUAACGCAAUAAGUAUUCCGCCUGUGGAGUAUGCACGCAAGUGUGAAACAUAAAGGAAUUGACGGGGGCCCGCACAAGCGGUGGAGUAUGUGGUUUAAUUCGACGCAACGCGAAGAACCUUA